rnacentral:rRNA from 1 species
CUACGGGUUGCUGCAGUGGGGAAUAUUGCACAAUGGGCGCAAGCCUGAUGCAGCCAUGCCGCGUGUAUGAAGAAGGCCUUCGGGUUGUAAAGUACUUUCAGCGGGGAGGAAGGGAGUAAAGUUAAUACCUUUGCUCAUUGACGUUACCCGCAGAAGAAGCACCGGCUAACUCCGUGCCAGCAGCCGCGGUAAUACGGAGGGUGCAAGCGUUAAUCGGAAUUACUGGGCGUAAAGCGCACGCGGGCGGUUUGUUAAGUCAGAUGUGAAAUCCCCGGGCUCAACCUGGGAACUGCAUCUGAUACUGGCAAGCUUGAGUCUCGUAGAGGGGGGUAGAAGUCCAGGUGUAGCGGUGAAAUGCGUAGAGAUCUGGAGGAAUACCGGUGGCGAAGGCGGCCCCCUGGACGAAGACUGACGCUCAGGUGCGAAAGCGUGGGGAGCAAACAGGAUUAGAUCCCUUGUAGUC